GGAUUGUGGCUCAGUGGUAGAGCGCUCGCCAAGCACAUGCGAGGCCUUGAGAUCGAUCCCCAGCACCA
rnacentral:tRNA from 1 species